UGAGGAACAUGAACCUUCGGCGGGGGAUAGCCGGCCCAACGGCCGGGUAAUACCGCGUACGACCACAUGGGGACAUCCCUGAGUGGUGAAAGCAGCAAUGCGCCGAUGGAGUGCCUCGCGGCCUAUCAGCUAGUUGGUGAGGUAAUGGCUCACCAAGGCGACGACGGGUANCUGGUCUGAGAGGAUGGCCAGCCACAUUGGGACUGAGACACGGCCCAGAUCC
rnacentral:rRNA from 1 species